ACGGGGAUAUUCAACGCGUCCGGCUGGCGGGCGAGCGGCGGCGGUUCUCGACGGACGACCGUUCGCGGUCGCUCGCGGACGUCGUCGCCGUCCCGUCGUCGGCGCGUGCACUUAUCCCCUUGUAGGACGUCGCGAUCCGUUGGGCGUCGGUCUACGGGCGACGGUGGAGCCCGCGUGCGCCUCGGCGCGCGCGAACCCGUCGUCUCCGGCCGACUCGCUCGACGGUAUCACUCGAGGCGCGGAGCCGCGACCCGUUCGCAUCCGGCCGUCCGCAAGCGCGCCCGGUCACCCGGCUGUCGGAUCUGAUGCCGGCACCGGGACCGUGCGGCUGUGGCGGGCGAGCUCUCGGAUAGACUCCGUACACGCCUAUCGGCGACGCUAUAGCUUUGGGUAAUCUCAGGACCCGUCUUGAAACACGGACCAAGGAGUCUAGCAUGUGCGCGAGUCAUUGGGACUUUAGACACCUAUUGGCGCAAUGAAAGUGAAGGCCGCCUUGCGCGCGCCUAGGGAGGAUGGGUCGCACCUCGGUGCGGCCCCGCACUCCUGGGGCGUCUCGUUCUCAUCGCGAGAAGAGGCGCACCGAGAGCGCAAAUGCUGGGACCCGAAAGAUGGUGAACUAUGCCUGGUCAGAACGAAGUCAGGGGAAACCCUGAUGGAGGUUCGUAGCGAUUCUGACGUGCAAAUCGAUCGUCGGAACUGGGUAUAGGGGCGAAAGACUAAUCGAACCAUCUAGUAGCUGGUUCCCUCCGAAGUUUCCCUCAGGAUAGCUGGCGCUCGGAGCACGAGUCUCAUUCGGUAAAGCGAAUGAUUAGAGGCAUUGGGGUCGAAACGACCUCAACCUAUUCUCAAACUUUAAAUGGGUGAGAUCUCCGGCUUGCUUAGAUGUGAAGCCGCAAGAAUU
rnacentral:rRNA from 1 species